UUAAAGCGGCAAGAAGAAGACAAGAGAGAAAGAGAAG
rnacentral:sRNA from 1 species